GCAAUGGGCCACAGAGCCGCCAUGCCGGAACCGCGCGGGUCGUCGCAGCUGCGGGUUAACGCGGCGUUUGCCGCGCGGUACAACCGCUACCGGGAACGCGAGGAACUGCAGCGGCGUGAGUGCGGGGCGCCUGCGCGCGGGAGCCUGCGCGCGCCGGCCGGUUGGGAAGUGGGGAGUCGAGUGGACCCGCCGGCUGACCUGGGGGGGGCAUCCCGUCUGUGUCCCGCAGUGAAGGAUCGCUACGGGGACCGAGACAGCAGCAGCGACUCCAGCUCCGAGUCGGACUCCAGCGACGAGCGCGUGGAAUUUGACCCCCAGCAGGAGCGGGACUUUUACAAAACGCUCUCCUUGUUGAAGAAGAAGGACCCCCGCAUUUAUCAGAAAGAUGCCACCUUCUAUAACAGAACAGCAUCAUCAUCAGACAGUGAGGAGGACCCAGAAGCCUUGGAGAAGCAGAAGAAAGUGCGGCCCAUGUACCUGAAGGACUACGAGAGGAAGGUUAUCUUGGAGAAGGCAGGCAAAUAUGUUGACGAGGAGAACUCAGACGGGGAGACUUCCAAUCACAGACUCCAGGUGGGUGGGGUGAAGGCUGGGUCGGGGGGCUGAGGGGCCUGGGGCUGGCCUGAGACCUAUGGCCCUCUCUGCAGGAGACAUCGUCGCAAAGUUAUGUGGAGGAACAGAAACAGCUCAAGGAAAGCUUCCGGGCAUUUGUGGAGGACAGUGAGGACGAGGACGGCGCUGGGGAGGGCGGCUCCAGUUUGCUGCAGAAACGUGCCAAAACCAGGCAGGAGAAGGCCCAGGAGGAGGCCGACUACAUCGAGUGGCUGAAGGGACAGAAAGAGAUUCGGAACCCAGAUUCCCUGAAGGAACUGACGCAUCUCAAGGAAUACUGGAACGACCCUGAGUUGGAUGAAGGGGAGCGGUUCCUGCGGGAUUACAUCCUCAACAAACGCUACGAGGAGGAGGAAGAGGAGGAGGAAAUGGAGGAAGAGGAGGGGGUCCACGGUCCCCCAGUCCAGCUGGCUGUGGACGACUCCUCAGACGAAGGGGAGCUGUUUCUGAAGAACCAGGAGGACUUUGAACAGAAGUACAAUUUCCGUUUCGAGGAGCCGGACUCAGCAUCGGUCAAGACCUACCCACGCAGCAUCGCGUCCUCCGUGCGCCGUAAGGAUGAGCGCAGAAAGGAGAAGAGGGAAGAGACUCGGGAGCGAAAGAAGAGGGAGAAAGCCAAGAAGCAGGAGGAGCUCAAGCAGCUGAAGAACCUGAAGAGGAAGGAGAUUCUGGCCAAGCUGGAGAAGCUGCGGAAAGUAACAGGCAACGAGACGCUGGGCCUCGAGGAGGGGGACCUUGAAGAUGACUUCGACCCUGCCCAGCACGACCAGCUCAUGCAGAAGUGCUUUGGGGACGAGUACUACGGGGCCGUGGAGGAGGAGAAGCCACAAUUUGAGGAAGAAGAAGGGCUUGAAGACGACUGGAACUGGGACACGUGGGACGGGCCUGAGCAGGAGGGAGACUGGAGCCAGCAGGAGCUGCACUGUGAGGACCCCAACUUCAACGUAGGUAUCACGGGUUGAGGGAGUCCCAGGGGCCCUGACGGGGGGCUGGUGGGAUCUGACCUGUGCGUCCUGGCAGAUGGACGCCGACUACGACCCCAGCCAGCCGAGGAAGAAAAAGCGCGAGGCCCCCUUGACAGGCAAGAAGAAGCGCAAGUCGCCCUUCGCCGCGGCCGUGGGGCAGGAGAAGCCCGUGUUCGAACCCGGGGAUAAGACGUUCGAGGAGUACCUGGAUGAGUAUUACCGGCUGGACUACGAGGACAUCAUCGACGACCUGCCCUGUCGCUUCAAGUACCGCACAGUGGUGCCCUGUGACUUUGGCCUCAGCACUGAGGAGAUAUUCGCUGCUGACGAUAAGGAGCUGAACCGGUGGUGCUCCCUAAAGAAGACCUGCAUGUACAGGUCAGAGCAGGAGGAGCUGCGGGACAAGCGGGCGUACAGCCAGAAGGCCCAGAACUCAUGGAAAAAGCGGCAGGUCUUCAAGUCACUCUGCCGAGAAGAGGCAGAGACACCUGCGGAAGCCACAGGGAAGCCACACAGAGAUGAAGCCGGCCCACAGAGGCAGCUGCCAGCCCUUGAUGGCAGCUUGAUGGGGCUGGAGAGUCCCCCAGCACAGGAAGAGGAAGCCCCUGUAUCACCCCACAAGAAGCCAGCCCCCCAGAAGCGGAGGAGGGCCAAGAAGGCACGGCUGCUGGGCCCCACUGUGAUGCUUGGUGGAUGCGAGUUCAGCCGCCAGAGACUGCAGGCCUUUGGCCUCAACCCCAAACGGCUGCACUUCCGCCAGCUGGGCUGGCAGCGGAGGAAACAACAGGGGCCCAAGAACAGCUCCUGAGCACCAGGGAGCAGGCAGGGGCCUCAGGCUCCUCUCCUCAAAUCAAGCCCUGGACAGGUCUCGCACCCACAAGUACUAUCUGCUGCAGAGAUCCUCUCAUCUGUGGCCAGGCACGCCUGUAAUCCCAGCACUUUGGGAGGCCGAGGUGAAAGGAUCACUUGAGCCCAGGAAUUGGAGACCAGCGUGGGCAACUUAGCGAGACUCCAUCUCUACAAAAUGUGGUGACACAUGCCUGUAGUCCCAGCUACUCAGGAGGCUGGGGAAGGAAGAUCACUUAAGGCCAUGAGUUUUGAGGCUACAGAGAGCUAUGAUUGCACCACUGCACUCCAGCCUGGGCAAAAAAGAGACUCCUGUCUCUUG
rnacentral:sRNA from 1 species